AGAGAUGGAUUCGUGCUCGAAAGAGAACCUGCACACAGGUGCUGCAUGGCUGUCGUCAGCUCGUGUCGUGAGAUGUUGGGUUAAGUCCCGCAACGAGCGCAACCCUUGCCAUCAGUUGCUACGAAAGGGCACUCUGAUGGGACUGCCGGUGACAAACCGGAGGAAGGUGGGGAUGACGUCAAGUCCUCAUGGCCCUUAUAGGUGGGGCUACACACGUCAUACAAUGGCCGGUACAAAGGGCAGCAAACCCGCGAGGGGGAGCCAAUCCAUCAAAGCCGGUCGUAGUCCGGAUCGCAGUCUGCAACUCGACUGCGUGAAGUCGGAAUCGCUAGUAAUCGUGGAUCAGCAUGUCACGGUGAAUACGUUCCCGGGUCUU
rnacentral:rRNA from 1 species